rnacentral:rRNA from 1 species
GACGAACGCUGGCGGCGUGCUUAACACAUGCAAGUCGAACGGAAAGGCCCUGCUUUUGUGGGGUGCUCGAGUGGCGAACGGGUGAGUAACACGUGAGUAACCUGCCCUUGACUUUGGGAUAACUUCAGGAAACUGGGGCUAAUACCGGAUAGGAGCUCCUGCUGCAUGGUGGGGGUUGGAAAGUUUCGGCGGUUGGGGAUGGACUCGCGGCUUAUGAGCUUGUUGGUGGGGUAGUGGCUUACCAAGGCUUUGACGGGUAGCCGGCCUGAGAGGGUGACCGGCGACAUGGGGACUGAGAGACGGCCCAGACUCCAACGGGAGGCAGCAGUGGGGAAUAUUGCACAAUGGGCCGAAGCCUGAUGCAGCAACGCCGCGUUCGGGAUGACGGCCUUCGGGUUGUAAACCGCUUUCGCCUGUGACGAAGCGUGAGUGACGGUAAUGGGUAAAGAAGCACCGGCUAACUACGUG